GAUGAACGCUGGCGGCGUGCCUAAUACAUGCAAGUCGAGCGAACAGACGAGGAGCUUGCUCCUCUGACGUUAGCGGCGGACGGGUGAGUAACACGUGGAUAACCUACCUAUAAGACUGGGAUAACUUCGGGAAACCGGAGCUAAUACCGGAUAAUAUAUUGAACCGCAUGGUUCAAUAGUGAAAGACGGUUUUGCUGUUACUUAUAGAGGGAUCCGCGCCGCAUUAGCUAGUUGGUAAGGUAACGGCUUACCAAGGCAACGAUGCGUAGCCGACCUGAGAGGGUGAUCGGCCACACUGGAACUGAGACACGGUCCAGACUCCUACGGGAGGCAGCAGUAGGGAAUCUUCCGCAAUGGGCGAAAGCCUGACGGAGCAACGCCGCGUGAGUGAUGAAGGUCUUCGGAUCGUAAAACUCUGUUAUUAGGGAAGAACAAAUGUGUAAGUAACUAUGCACGUCUUGACGGUACCUAAUCAGAAAGCCACGGCUAACUACGUG
rnacentral:rRNA from 1 species